rnacentral:rRNA from 1 species
AGCGAAAGACGGGUGAGAAUCCCGUCCACCGAAUGCCUAAGGUUUCCUGAGGAAGGCUCGUCCGCUCAGGGUUAGUCAGGACCUAAGCCGAGGCCGACAGGCGUAGGCGAUGGACAACAGGUUGAUAUUCCUGUACCACCUCUUUAUCGUUUGAGCAAUGGAGGGACGCAGAAGGAUAGAAGAAGCGUGCGAUUGGUUGUGCACGUCCAAGCAGUUAGGCUGAUAAGUAGGCAAAUCCGCUUAUCGUGAAGGCUGAGCUGUGAUGGGGAAGCUCCUUAUGGAGCGAAGUCUUUGAUUCCCCGCUGCCAAGAAAAGCUUCUAGCGAGAUAAAAGGUGCCUGUACCGCAAACCGACACAGGUAGGCGAGGAGAGAAUCCUAAGGUGUGCGAGAGAACUCUGGUUAAGGAACUCGGCAAAAUGACCCCGUAACUUCGGGAGAAGGGGUGCUUUCUUAACGGAAAGCCGCAGUG